UACGUAGGGUCCAAGCGUUAAUCGGAAUUACUGGGCGUAAAGCGCGCGUAGGCGGCUAAUUAAGUCAAAUGUGAAAUCCCCGAGCUUAACUUGGGAAUUGCAUUCGAUACUGGUUAGCUAGAGUGUGGGAGAGGAUGGUAGAAUUCCAGGUGUAGCGGUGAAAUGCGUAGAGAUCUGGAGGAAUACCGAUGGCGAAGGCAGCCAUCCGGCCUAACACUGACGCUGAGGUGCGAAAGCAUGGGGAGCAAACAGGAUUAGAUACCCUUGUAGUCC
rnacentral:rRNA from 1 species